rnacentral:rRNA from 1 species
GAUGAACGCUAGCUACAGGCUUAACACAUGCAAGUCGAGGGGCAGCGGGGAGUAGCAAUACUUCGCCGGCGACCGGCGCACGGGUGAGUAACACGUGUGCAACCACCCGAUUACCGGGAGAUAGCCCUUCGAAAGGUGGACUAAUAUCCCAUAAGACUCUGGAGCCGCAUGGCUCUGGUAUUAAAGAAUUUCGGUUAUCGACGGGCACGCGCGACAUUAGGUAGUUGGCGGGGUAACGGCCCACCAAGCCGACGAUGUCUAGGGGUUCUGAGAGGAAGGUCCCCCACACUGGAACUGAGACACGGUCCAGACUCCUACGGGAGGCAGCAGUGAGGAAUAUUGGUCAAUGGGCGCGAGCCUGAACCAGCCAAGUCGCGUGAGGGAAGAAUGGUCUAUGGCCUGUAAACCUCUUUUGUCAAGGAAGAAUAAAUUGCACGUGUGCGAUCUUGCCAGUACUUGACGAAUAAGCAUCGGCUAACUCCGUGCCAGCAGCCGCGGUAAUACGGGGGAUGCGAGCGUUAUCCGGAUUUAUUGGGUUUAAAGGGCGCGUAGGCGGGACAGUUAAGUCAGUUGUGAAAGUUUGCGGCUCAACCGUAAAAUUGCAGUUGAUACUGGCUGUCUUGAGUACAGUAGAGGUGGGCGGAAUUCGUGGUGUAGCGGUGAAAUGCUUAGAUAUCACGAAGAACUCCGAUUGCGAAGGCAGCUCACUGGACUGCAACUGACACUGAUGCUCGAAAGUGUGGGUAUCAAACAGGAUUAGAUACCCUGGUAGUCCACACAGUAAACGAUGAAUACUCGCUGUUUGCGAUAUACAGUAAGCGGCCAAGCGAAAGCAUUAAGUAUUCCACCUGGGGAGUACGCCGGCAACGGUGAAACUCAAAGGAAUUGACGGGGGCCCGCACAAGCGGAGGAACAUGUGGUUUAAUUCGAUGAUACGCGAGGAACCUUACCCGGGCUUAAAUUGCAUUUGAAUAUAUUGGAAACAGUAUAGCCGUAAGGCAAAUGUGAAGGUGCUGCAUGGUUGUCGUCAGCUCGUGCCGUGAGGUGUCGGCUUAAGUGCCAUAACGAGCGCAACCCUUAUCUUUAGUUACUAACAGGUCAUGCUGAGGACUCUAGAGAGACUGCCGUCGUAAGAUGUGAGGAAGGUGGGGAUGACGUCAAAUCAGCACGGCCCUUACGUCCGGGGCUACACACGUGUUACAAUGGGGGGUACAGAGGGCAGCUACCUGGUGACAGGAUGCUAAUCCCAAAAGCCUCUCUCAGUUCGGAUCGAAGUCUGCAACCCGACUUCGUGAAGCUGGAUUCGCUAGUAAUCGCGCAUCAGCAUGGCGCGGUGAAUACGUUCCCGGGCCU